rnacentral:rRNA from 1 species
GCACAAGCGGUGAGUAUGUGGUUUAAUUCGAUGCAACGCGAAGAACCUUACCUGGUCUUGACAUCCCGGAGACCCUUAGGAACUAGGGGUGCUUCCAUCUGGAAGAAUCUGGAGACAGGUGCUGCAUGGCUGUCGUCAGCUCGUGUCGUGAGAUGUUGGGUUAAGUCCCGCAACGAGCGCAACCCUUGCCUUUAGUUGCCAGCAGUUCGGCUGGGCACUCUAAAGGGACUGCCGGUGUUAAACCGGAGGAAGGUGGGGAUGACGUCAAGUCCUCAUGGCCUUUAUGACCAGGGCUACACACGUACUACAAUGGCCGAUACAAAGGGCAGCGACACUGCGAGGUGAAGCCAAUCCCGUAAAAUCGGUCUCAGUCCGGAUUGGAGUCUGCAACUCGACUCCAUGAAGUUGGAAUCGCUAGUAAUCGUGGAUCAGCAUGCCACGGUGAAUACGUUCCCGGGCCUU